AGAUUUCCCACCGCAAGGGUAAGACCCCAGAAAGACUAUCUGGUUGAUAGGUCGAAGGUGUAAGUGCAGCAAUGUAUUUAGCUUAUCGAUACUAAUAGGUCGAGGACUUGACCAAAUU
rnacentral:rRNA from 1 species